CACUGUGGAUCUUGUCCUAUACUUGUCGGGCGCAGCUACAAUUAAUCAGUAUCGACAAGAUCUCUCAGUGG
ensembl:miRNA cin-mir-4065 cin-mir-4065